UCAAAAUUACAAAGAUAAUGAAUGAAAAUUUUACAGGUUCCUAAUUAAAAUUAAUACGGCGACGCAAGCGGCGAGGGACCUGACCUAGCGGGGAAGCACCGCGGCGGGGACGCCUCCGACGUCGCCCACGUGGAGGAAUAACAGAAGAAGAGGCAGGCGGAAGAUCGCCACCAGACCAUUCUUCAAAAAUGGACUCCCUGGCAGCAACAGCAACACUCUGCCGCUCAACAAUAAGUUGGCGCAGAGAAGGAAGAUCCAAGGUCGACGACCGAGGAUCCAGAAUAUUCAAAAUCCGAUCCAGCUCCUCAAUCUCCCCCUGAAUAAAAUCAGCAAAAAGACUCACAAGAAGAGCCAUGGAUGGAUGAAGGAAAAGGAGAACCUAGGGGUCCUAUUUAUAGACCCUAGGACAGCACAAAAGGACAAAAUGGCAAAGUCGACUUUUUACACAAGGGAUCGACUUUUGACCAAAAGCACCAGGAAUCGACUUUUUGACAAAAGUCGACCAAACUCAACAAGGGAUCGACAUUUAGCAAAAGUCGAGGAAAUUCAACAGGGGAUCGACAUUUAACAAAAGUCGACCAAAACCAACAAGGGAUCGACUUUUUCUCCCACAUAAAAGGGGUGCAGAAAAAAGAACCCAGACAAGUUGGAGUUGCAGAGGCACACCAAGACAGGAGGGUGUAACAUGAAAUGCUCCUGAGGAAUCGUGGAAGUCCACAACUCGGACGGGGAUACGGCAGCAAAAUGAGCUGAGCCAUAUAAAGAUAUUUGAACUCCUACUAUUACUGGACGCAGUAACAAAGUAGGACGCCAAAUUAACUCUACCUGCGGAAGAACGCGGAUAGAGAAAGUCUUAAUGGUAACAGAGUCAGGAUGCGUGUCCCAUCCAAAGCAAAGAGUGAACCUCACCUACGGAAACGUAGUGUUAGACGAGGGACAUACUCAAAAGUGAACCCCACCUACGGAAGAACGUAGGUUAGACGGGGAACACAUCGACAAAAGUGAACCCCACCUACGGAAGAACGUAGGUUAGAUGGGGAACACAUCGGCAAAAGUGAACCCCACCUACGGAAGAACGUAGGUUAGACGGGGGACACGUCGGCUAAACACACACCUCAUUCUACAAAAAUGUAGACAGAGGGGCAAGUGUCCAAGAGUAAACCUCACCUACGGAAGAACGUAGGUUAGACGAGGGACGUACUCAAGAGUAAACCUCACCUACGGAAGAACGUAGGUUAGACGAGGGACGUACUCAAGAUAAGUCCUCACCCACGGAUGAACGGGGGUAGACGAGGAAGCACAAUCAGCCCCUAUCACGGAAAGGCGAAAAAAAGGAGGGGGCAAGUAUUCAAGUAAUAUUCCUCACCCACGGAUGAACGCGGGUAGACGAGGAAGCACAAUCAGCCCCUAUCGCAGAAAGUCGGAAAAAAGGAGGGGGCAAGUAUUCAAUUAACAGUCCUCACCCACGGAUGAACGUGGGUAGACGAGGAAGUACACUCAGCCCCUAUCGCAGAAAGGCGGAAAAAAGGAGGGGGUCGGGUACUCUCAAAACCCGCCACAGGGAAGAGAACCCAAGCAGUGCUCAAGGACAGCUCAGGCAAGGCGUCAAGGUGGGCAAGCAGGGUUCCGCGGAAGAAUCGGGCCGGACAGGUGUGCAAGGAGUAGGCUUCGGCUAGGACAAACCGGACAAUAGUUGGCAAAAGCGCGUGACAACCUCCGUGGAAGCAUAGAUACAACCUCGCAGGCGUGGAAGGGGGG
rnacentral:lncRNA from 1 species